UCUGCCCGCGGNUCGGGGAUGGCCCAUCGAAAGAUGGAUUAAUACCCGAUGGCGUGGUCACUCCGCAUGGAGUUUUCCACUAAAAGGGUUUUUCCGGCCGCGGAUGAGGAUGCGUAUGAUUAGGUAGUAGGCGGGGUAACGGCCCACCUAGCCUUCGAUCAUUAGGGGUUCUGAGAGGAAGGUCCCCCACACUGGAACUGAGACACGGUCCAGACUCCUACGGGAGGCAGCAGUGAGGAAUAUUGGUCAAUGGGCGAGAGCCUGAACCAGCCAAGUAGCGUGAAGGAAGACUGCCCUAUGGGUUGUAAACUUCUUUUGUUCGGGAAUAAAGUGCAGUACGCGUACUGUUUUGUAUGUACCGUUCGAAUAAGCAUCGGCUAAUUCCGUG
rnacentral:rRNA from 1 species